AAGGACGGUGAGAGCGUCUCCCAGGGUCUGGGGGAGCGCUUGGAUGUGGAGCGUUGCUUAAAUGAGGUGCCGAGGGAUGAACCUUUGUGCCGGGGAGUAGCAGAGGGAUAGGAUGUAAACCAGACACAAAUGGAGGAGGCCAGAGGAGCACAGCAAUGAGGUGGGUUGGCACCUGAAGCCCAAGCUCCAGCCUGACUUUCUUCAAUGCUUACCCCGUUGUUUGGCUCUUUGUUUCAUUAGAAGAUGCGAAGCGCUUGGUACGGCCAGGUGGUCUGAAGCAUUCCAACCGCUGGUCC